rnacentral:rRNA from 1 species
GAUGAACGCUGGCGGCGUGCCUAAUACAUGCAAGUCGAGCGAACGGACGAGAAGCUUGCUUCUCUGAUGUUAGCGGCGGACGGGUGAGUAACACGUGGAUAACCUACCUAUAAGACUGGGAUAACUUCGGGAAACCGGAGCUAAUACCGGAUAAUAUUCUGAACCGCAUGGUUCAAAAGUGAAAGACGGUCUUGCUGUCACUUAUAGAUGGAUCCGCGCUGCAUUAGCUAGUUGGUAAGGUAACGGCUUACCAAGGCAACGAUGCAUAGCCGACCUGAGAGGGUGAUCGGCCACACUGGAACUGAGGCACGGUCCAGACUCCUACGGGAGGCAGCAGUAGGGAAUCUUCCGCAAUGGGCGAAAGCCUGACGGAGCAACGCCGCGUGAGUGAUGAAGGUCUUCGGAUCGUAAAACUCUGUUAUUAGGGAAGAACAUAUGUGUAAGUAACUGUGCACAUCUUGACGGUACCUAAUCAGAAAGCCACGGCUAACUACGUG